rnacentral:rRNA from 1 species
AGCGAACGCUGGCGGCAGGCCUAACACAUGCAAGUCGAGCGGCCGUAGCAAUACGGCAGCGGCAGACGGGAGAGUAACACGUGGGAACGCGCCCUUCGGUUCGGGAUAACUCAGGGAAACUUGGGCUAAUACCGGAUACGCCCUUACGGGGAAAGAUUUAUUGCCGAAGGAACGGCCCGCGUCCGAUUAGCUUGUUGGUGAGGUAACGGCUCACCAAGGCGACGAUCGGUAGCUGGUCUGAGAGGAUGACCAGCCUCACUGGGACUGAGACGCGGCCCAGCCUCCUACGGGAGGCAGCAGUGGGGAAUAUUGGACAAUGGGCGCAAGCCUGAUCCAGCCAUGCCGCGUGGGUGAUGAAGGCCCUAGGGUUGUAAAGCCCUUUCAGCGGGGAAGAUAAUGACGGUACCCGCAGAAGAAGCCCCGGCUAACUUCGUGCCAGCCGCCGCGGUAACAC